UCUUCAGUUUGUUACCACCAACAAGGCUCUGUAUUGGAAAAUCAUUUGCUUUAGCCACUGACAAUGUCAGUAAUGUGAACGUAGCAUAAGCCAUAACUGUGGACAAACAUAUGCAUAAUUACUCCAAUUAUAAUACGCAUCCCAUAGCCGAAACCUGCUUCUUAAUUAUUAGAUAAAUCUAGGCAAGCUGAAAGUACCUACUAGAGCUAUUAUGAAAUGUAUGAAGCUGUUCAGUCUGCAACUGCAAUGCUGAAUACAAAAAAAGAAAGAAAGAAAGCAAUGCUAAGAAUGAAAUGGUAACUUCAAAACUUUCCAGGUAGACAAAGUGGGGAAAAGGAGGGAUUACAUCUUCAGGACAUUAAUACAAGAAAGGAGCUUCUGGACAAUGACAAUUGCAGAGCUUAAAGUGCAUAUUUCAUGGCAGCCAAUGAGGAUAGCUUCUGGGGUCCUUUCUAAACUUUUAAGAGUCUACAGAGAUUGCUUCUGCAAUCAAUGUGACUAAAUCAAAGCACACUCAUAAGAAAUUCCUCAAUUUAUAGCCAAGAUAAAGCCAAUUGUCUUUGAGAAGCUAAGUGCCAUCUGUACUCAGAAGCCCAGAAGUUGUGAAAGUGAAAAUCUUUACUAUCCGAUGGGAAGAGCUUUGCUGCCAAUCAAUGCAUCUACAGCUUCCAACACAUAUCAAGCUUCAAAGUAAGAGUGCUAAUGAUAACACUGGGAGCAGUUGGUGGGCUGGGGAAGAAGCACUUACCUGACCUCCCAGAAGAGAUAAGGUGGUGGAGAGGGCCAUGGGGUGAGAACACACUAGCAGGAGCACCGGACUGGCUCCACUAGGACAGUUGCACUGACCUCACCACCCUCUUGCCCCUGUUGUAAACAAAAACACACCCCACCCUCUCAGUAAACAGCAGUGACUUACCUGCUACAAUGAGGGGGGAAAGUAUUUUAUCCCCUGCUAAAUUUGCUCAUUUGCCCUCUGACAAAGAAAUGACCAGUCCAUAAUUUUAAUGGUAGGUUUAUUGUAGCUGUGAGAGACAGAAUAACAACAGGGAAACCCCCAGAAACCCGGAAGACAAAAGUCAGAGAUUGAUGUGCAUUAUAAUGAGUGAAAUAAGUAUUUGAUCCCUUUGCAAAAGAUGACUUAGUACUUGGUGGCAAACCCUUGUUGGCAAUUACAGAGGUCAGACGUUUCUUGUAGGUGGCCACCAGGUUUACACACAUCUCAGGAGGUAUUUUGUCCCACUCCUCUUUGCAGAUCCUCUCCAAGUCAGUAAGAUUUUGAGGCUGAUGUAUAGCUACGCAAACCUUCAGCUCCCUCCACAGAUUUUCGAUGGGAUUAAGGUCUGGAGACUGGCUAGGCCACUCCAGGACCUUAAUGUGCUUCUUCGUGAGCCACUCCUUUGUUGCCUUGGCUGUGUGUUUUGGGUCAUUGUCAUGCUGGAAUACCCAUCCUCAACCCUUUUUCAAUGCCCUGGCUGAGGGAAGGAGGUGCUCACCCAAGAUUUGACGAUACAUGGGCCCGUCCAUCGUCCCUUCGAUGCGGUGAAGGUGUCCUGUCCCCUUAGCAGAAAAACACCCCCAAAGCAUAAUGUACCCCUCCAUGUUUGACAGUAGGGAUGGUGUUCUUGGGGUCGUAGGCAGCAUUCCUCCUCCUCUAAACAUGGCAAGUUGAAUUGAUGCCAAAGAGCUCGAUUUUGGUCUCAUCUGACCACAACACUUUCACCACUUCUCCUCUGGGUCAUUCAGAUGUGUAUUGGCAAACUGCAGAUGGGCCUGUACAUGUGCUGUCUUGAGCAAGGGGACCUUGCGAGCUCUGCAAGAUCUCAGUCCUUCAUGGCGUAGUGUGUUACCAACUGUUUUCAUGGUGCCCUGAGAUCACUGACAAGUUCCCCCCGUGUAGUUCUGGGCUGCUUCAUCACCAUCUCCUGAACAUUGCAACUCCACGAGAUGAGAUCUUGCAUGGAGCCCCAGACCGAGGAAGGUUGACAGUUCUUUUGUGUUUCUUCCAUUUGCGAAUUAUUUGUUGUUGUUGUUGUUUAGUCGUUUAGUCGUGUCCAGCUCUUCGUGACCCCAUGGACCAGAGCACGCCGGGCACUCCUGUCUUCCACUGCCUCUCGCAGUUUGGUCAAACUCAUGUUAGUAGCUUCGAUAACACUGUCCAGGCUAAAAUAUUCCACAAGCUUAUAGAGAUAACUGUAAAUUACUCAUGCAAACAACCCAAUCCACAUCCUGCAGAAGGGAACAACAUCAUCAACAACAACAUCAGCAGCAACUACAUCAAAACCUUCUUGUGCAUUUUGGGCAGGAGAGCAGGUGAGAAUUCUUGCUACUAGCAUUCUCUCUCUCUCUUUCUCUAUCUCUCUAAGGUAUGUGGAAUUCUUGAUCUGGAGGAGCAUUCAAUUAUGCAAUCUAUUGCCCACAUUCUCAAGCAGUAUGUCCCCAGGAGAGCCAUAGCACAAGAUUCUUCUGAACUUAUAAAUCAACACUCAGCGUACAGAGAUUCUGAUAUUACUGUGACGUUUUGAUGUGUUUCCAAAUAUACUUCUGGUAUUUUUUUUAUCAAAUGCCUCUCUGGGAUACUCAUUUUAAUGAGAAAAUUUGUGCUGUAUGAAUGAUUAGCAAAAGCUGAACUAGGAAGCAUGCAUAGGAUUUGUGCUAUUUAAAAAAAAUAUGAUUUUUUCCCUUAAGUUUUCCUUUUUCUUAAUGAACAGCAACAGAGAGAAGUUUCAGGACCAUCAAUUUUGAACACUCUGGGUCAGGCCCUGACAUUUGGUAACUGCUGUGGAAAUCUGUGGGAGCCAAAAAAGACUUGCAUUUUCAUUACAGAAAGAGCUUUCAGCCCAGUACCUCAUCCAUUCUAGUGAUGGAGAACAGUUGAUGCUCUGAACUGAAAACAAAGGAAAACACAUAUCCAACUGACCUCUCAGGGUGCCCUGUAACAGUCUUGAAUAAGUCCCGUGUAGUGCUCCUCUGAGCACAGUGAUCUUACAGGUGUACUGAGGGGGUGCAGCAGACACCACCAACCCCAAGAUGGAAAGUUCUAAACUGGUAAGACAGACUCCUCUAGAGGGAGGUUUCAAUGUAGCAGCCAGCCAUAUUGGAUUAGCAUUUGGCCUUGCCCUUGAAGUUUAGCUUCAGUAACUUCCCAUUGGUCAAAUAUGUCUAAGCUGGCCUUUUAAGACUAAAAGAGGAGGCCUGUUGGAUCAGACCAAAUGGACCUGGAUGCCUUUAAAUGGUGAGCAGACCAAUUCAAGGCACACUAAAUUACCAUUAGUAAUGGCUACUAAUCUUAAUGGCUGUAUGCUACUACCUCCAGUAUGCCUCUGAACAGCACUUGGUAGGGAAGAACAGUGGGGAAUGGGUUCUGUGCUGGUCCUUCUUUUGGGCUUACUAUACCCUCUGCUUGGCCAUUUUGGGAAGCCAGGUGCUGAACCAAAUAGUUAUUUGCAUAUACUUUAUGGCUUGCCUUGUGAUGUAAUUUUGAUAUUACAGCUUGUUUGUAAAAUCAUUUAUGAGCAAAAUUCCAAUAAUCUGUUUUUCCUGGGAUGCCAUAAAGGACCACAUUAUAGAAAGGACAGUUUUCCUUGGGAAACAUCCCCAAGCCAAUAAGCUCAAAGGCGAGUUAUGCUGAGAAAGCUUCAUCUACAGCACGACAAUACUUUAGUUUCAUCAUCACUAUAACCAGUGCUUUUUUUCUUCAUGGUGAGUGCUGGCACCUUUUUUACUAUAUAUAUAUAUAAAGCACUGCCUAUAACCUCUAAUUUACACUAGGCUCCGCUACUAAUAUACAUAUUUUGGUGUGCAAUUUGGACUGUCUACAAUACAGUGGUGCCUCAGGUUAUUAUUUUUUAAAAAAUAAUUUUUAUUGAAUGAUUUUAUGUUACAAAAAACAAUACAGCCAUACUACCACUAAAUAUAAUUAAGAAAUAAAAAUUACAUACAUC
rnacentral:lncRNA from 1 species